AGAGCUCUCUGUCUGAUUAAUCGUCUUCCGUUAAUGAACUUUGACCUAAUUUGCCACACAUUUUCAUAAACAAACUUUUGGAUGAAAAGAGAGUGAUUGGGCUUAGGCCUCUUCCUUUUCGAGCAUCUGAGUACUGCAGUAGAGCUCCCUGCUUAGAUGCUUGUCUCCGCUUAAAAUCAACUCAAACUCAUCAAACUUGUUUUCCGCCCUUGUGCGA
rnacentral:lncRNA from 1 species